rnacentral:rRNA from 1 species
UACGGAGGGUGCGAGCGUUGUCCGGAAUCAUUGGGCGUAAAGGGCGCGUAGGUGGCCACUUCAAGCGUGCGGUGAAAGUCGGGGGCUCAACCCCUGAUCGGCCGUGCGAACUGGGGGGCUGGAGCACUGUAGAGGCAGGCGGAAUUCCGGGUGUAGCGGUGGGAAUGCGUAGAUAUCGGGAGGAACACCUGUGGCGAAAGCGGCUCACUGGACCACAACUGACGCUGAGGCGCGAAAGCUAGGGGAGCAAACAGGG